rnacentral:miRNA from 1 species
CACAAAAUAUCAAACAGUGAGAUAGGUCUGUUGAAUUUAGCAUGGUAAAUUCAACAAACCUAUCUCACUGUUUGAUAUUUUGUG